UAAUACGUAGGGCGCAAGCGUUAUCCGGAAUUAUUGGGCGUAAAGAGCUCGUAGGCGGUUUGUCGCGUCUGCUGUGAAAUCCCGAGGCUCAACCUCGGGCCUGCAGUGGGUACGGGCAGACUAGAGUGCGGUAGGGGAGAUUGGAAUUCCUGGUGUAGCGGUGGAAUGCGCAGAUAUCAGGAGGAACACCGAUGGCGAAGGCAGAUCUCUGGGCCGUAACUGACGCUGAGGAGCGAAAGGGUGGGGAGCAAACAGGCUUAGAUACCCUGGUAGUCCACCCCGUAAACGUUGGGAACUAGUUGUGGGGUCCAUUCCACGGAUUCCGUGACGCAGCUAACGCAUUAAGUUCCCCGCCUGGGGAGUACGGCCGCAAGGCUA
rnacentral:rRNA from 1 species